AACGUCUCAGUUCGGAUUGUAGUCUGAAACUCGCCUACAUGAAGCUGGAGUUGCUAGUAAUCGCGAAUCAGCAUGUCGCGGUGAAUACGUUCCCGGGCCUUGUACACACCGCCCGUCACACCAUGAGAGUUGGCAAUACCCAACGUACGUGAUCUAACCCGCAAGGGAGGAAGCGUCCUAAGGUAGGGUCAGCGAUUGGGGUGAAGUCGUAACAAGGUACC
rnacentral:rRNA from 1 species